UACAGAGGUCUCGAGCGUUAGUCGGAUUCAUUGGGCUUAAAGCGUACGUAGGCGGAUAUGCAGGCGUCGUGUGAAAGCCCUCGGCUCAACCGAGGAAUUGCACGGCGAACCGCAUGUCUUGGGAUCGGUAGGGGCGGUCGGAACGAUAGGUGGAGUGGUGAAAUGCGUUGAUAUCUAUCGGAACGCCGAAGGUGAAAACAGGCCGCUGGGCCGAUUCUGACGCUGAGGUACGAAAGCGUGGGGAGCAAACGGG
rnacentral:rRNA from 1 species